UGCUCAGAAAACUUCAGGCUCAGGGUCUCCAUCCUUGAUUUUCACAGCAUCAACAAAAGCUGAUGGCAAGGUUAAACGUUGAGGUGAUGAAAAAGUAAAUUUCUGCACUUUCACCAAUACUGUAAAUGUUUUUAUUUUUUUCUAUAGAAGAAAGAAGACCAACACUAAUGCUUCAAGUCCAGCCACAAAGAUUUUCAAAGACAGAAGAGUAAGGGUACAACAGUCAGCAUCAGGUUGUUAUCAAAUGACAGAUUUGAGUAUCAUCAGUGGAGGAACUUCAACCCUUGCGAAAGAGAACAUCACAAUUAACACCUGUCUCCAUCUAAGCCUUGAAGCAGCACAAAAAUGGCUAUUCACAACCUACUCGGGAACUCUCCAAGACAUUGUUUAUGAAUG
rnacentral:lncRNA from 1 species